UCAAAAACACGCAUGCGCGCUUGCAAGUGUGUUGCCUAGACGCGCACGCGCAGUGUCGCCAGUUUCCCAUCCCAUGGGCCGGGGCUGGGCCCAUCGUCAUGCCCGUGCAGACAUUCGGGAGGCCGCUGCGCCUGUGCGGGGUUCUCGUCCCUCUGCUCCCCGUUCAAGGCCGUGGGGAAGAACGGGGGUGAAACGCCCCCGCCUGGGGGGAGUCUCGGGGCUGCAGGGGCCCAGUGGGGAAGCGGCUGCCCUGCCGGCAGGUGGCCCAGCCUCGCCUCGCGGGCUGCCCCAUCUCCCAGACCCGGCCGCUGUUGGAUUUUUCAGCUGUAUGAAGGUCUCCUUUCCAUCGAUCGGUCUCCUUGGUUUGUGCAGCUGGAGGCGAAAAUAGCCCUUGCCGUGCAAUGGGAGCUUCCUGGCAAACCUUUCAGUGCUUCCCCAGCACUUUACGUCUCACACCGCUUCUCAGAACACCCUGGUGAAACCGCUAUGGACCAACUUUCUACUGGAAAUUUCAGAAAAUUUGAUGGUACAUUUUUCUCCACAAUGAUGCAGCCAUGUACAUUCUCAUUCCGAAGAGGUUGUCAGUGGCAGCAUUUGUGACUGAUAUAAGGCUGAAGAUACAACAAUAUUUCAUAAUUCUCUACUGUAGAAACCAGUAAAAAGCAUUUAGCACCAAUGAAGAUAUUAAUAUACUGAUAUGUAAAGAUGGAAGAGGAACUGUUUUGAGAGGUUUUUAAACAGUACUGCUUCAGCAUUCCCGCCCCCUACAAUAUUACCUCAAAUGCUUUUUAAAAACAGUUGCUCAUUUUUUUUCUCAAGAACUCUGUUUAUUUUUGCACUUCUUUUGAAUGCUGAGGUGGCUGCAUAUGAUUUCAUCUUUCAUAAGGCUAAUAUCAGACACCUACCACAAUAAUCAGUCUGCAGCCUCUAGUUUGGUUUGUAAGGCAUUUAAACAAAUUACAACUUGCAAGGGAAUUUGUACAUCCACAUGCAUUUAGUGUUGAGCAAACAAUUCCCACAAUUACAGAAAACUCUGGAUGACAGUUCUUUGAUGACGUAUCCUCGAGGACGGCUAUAACACAGUAAGGUAUUAAGGAAUAAGAGUCAGUAACAGAAGUGUUUUGUAGCUACCCAGACUGCGAAAGAAUGCAUUGAUGUGAUGAGUCAGUCAUUUAAGACCACUCAGAGAAUUAGGCUAAUGGAAAUACGAGUAGGAUGGCCCAGGUAGCUGGGCUGGGCACAUACCAGAUGCACAGUGGGCAGGAAUCCUUCCCACUUUCCCUCCAGGCCACAGAAAAGUUCAGCAGCCACUCCAAUGGCUUGAGUAACCUCUGCAGCGUGUUCUCUUUCCCCUGUGAGGAUCCUUGGGUCAGGUUAUCUUUUGAACAUUCCAGUCUCUAUUUUGCUAUGCAGAAAGUGUCAUGUUCCUGUACUAGAUAUGGACUGAAUACAGAGCUUGCUAAUACAUACCAGAUACGUUCAUCACAAGAUCCUUUAAUGCUCUGACAAUGGUCCGAGGUUUAUUUAAAUAAGAUAUUUUACAAACAAUGCCACUUAGCAGUGGAAUAGUAUAAUACAGUUUAGUGUUCUAUUACAGGAAGUUCACAGGGAGCUACACAUGGCACAGUCCAGGAGAUGCACAUUCCCUACAUGGACCCAUGUCAUCAGCUCCCCACCUUGCAUAACAGAAACACUGGUGCUGUUAUCUAUGCAUCCUUGAUAGCAGGCUGGAUUUGCUUCUUAAUGAAGAAAAAUGUCUCUCUAGUAUAGGGCCAUCUUGAUAGCAUUGUGUGACUUCAGAAUGACGACAAGAAAAGAUUUUUGAAAACUUCUCUGCAAAUAUAUAAACACUAAAUAUUGCCUAUUUUACAAUGUACAAAACACUGUACAAAAGCCACUAGAGAAGAGAGCUAGGAGUGUGCCGGAUUUACUACCUGCUUUACGCCCUUUGUUUGCGAUGAUAAUGCAAUGAACACAUUUUUAAAAAAUACAGUAAAAAAAUUUAAAAUUACAAACCUUGGAGCAGGAAAAUGCGAUAUUGUAAAAAUCCCAGAAUUGGUUGUUGCAGGCUGGAAAAGAGAGCAACAAGUAUGAAAUAAAAAGAAGUUACAAAAAACCCAUUAACACUAGACAUAUCUUUGAAAAAACACAUGUGGCUAAUUAUUAAUUAUUAAUAAAUAAAAUUAUAAAUAUACUAUUGUAAAUCUUUAACUGAGAACACGAUAUACAUUUGUCAAAAAUAGCAGAAUACUUAAUACCAUUUUUUGACAAAAUACCUCAAAAAUUAUGACAAAUCCUUUUCAGUUUUAAGAGUUUAGCAUUUAAUAAUACUUUGAAUUUCUAUAGAAGUAUCUAAGGAUCUCAAAGCACUUUGCAAAUAAUUUAUCAAACCUCUCAAAUUUCCUGUGAGGUAGGAAAGCAUUAUCAUCGCUAUUAUACAGAUGAGAAAACUGAGGCCCAGGGUCUCACACCAAGAUUGUGGCACUGCUGGGAAUAGGAGCCAGAUCUACUGUGCUUCAGCUCCAGAACUUUCUUUCUCCUCUACAAACUAUUACUUUAUGACUGAGUGUGUAGCAAUUGCCAUUAGAAAGUGGCAGUCUGCCAUUUUCAUGCUGAUCUACAGGGAAAAUACGUAUGUAUGUCGGGGUCAGAUUAUCUGCUCAUCCCCAAGGCACUUUGAAAAAAUUAUAAGAAGGGGCAGCAGAAGGAUGUCUGGGAAAUGAAAAGCAUGGAAUUGAAGAGAUUAAAAGCCUUUGUGUGAGAAGUAUGAGGAGUAGGGGCCUGUGGCGUGACCACAGGAUUGGGAGCCAGGAAAUCUGGGUUCUAUUCUGACAUCUACCCCAGAUUUCCUGAGUGAUGCUGGGCAACUUACUUAACCUUCUCCAUGGCUCAGUUUCUCUAUUUGUAAAAUGGGAUUACACUCACUUAAAUACUGCACUGGAGUGUUAUGAGAAGUAAAAAGUUAAUAUUUGCAAAGCUCUAUAAACAAUUUACUAUUAAAUAACGAGAGAACGGAACACAGAAAAAGGAAAGAGAAAUUAGAAUGAGAGAAAAGACAAAAAACAGGAAUAAAGAAAAGAAUAGAGAGGGAUUUGGGGAAAACACUGAAGACAGCAGACACAAAACUUAAAGGCAUUAGGGGCAAGUCCUCAACAUCAUGACUAUAAAACAACACAAACAUUUCAAAAUGACACCAGCUUUUUUUUUUUUUUUAAUGGAUAGUGUGCCAGGGAGAUGGGAAAGAGAAAACAAAACUGUGUGUUCCAAACAUACUUUCCUAUUAAUUUAGUUUAUUUUUAAAGAGGUUUCUUUAGCAAGGUCAGACUUCUAGUAUUUUGCUUUAUUCCCUAAUUUUAAAAUCCAUGAAAGUUUCAGUGCUUUUUUUUUCAUUUUCUCUGCAAAUUCUUCAUAUUUGCUUAGCAUUUCUUAUUUAUUUUUGCCAGAAAUGGACCUAUGGGCUGGCUUGGCAAUUGCUCUAUGUGGAUCACAGUUUAGGUCCAGCAUUAUUUGGGCUAGACAAGAGCUCUGCAGACUGAUGUUCAGUUCCUGUGAGAAGGAAGCACCUCUGGUCAGUACUAAGAGCACUACUGACUGUUGCCCAGCUUCCCUUUGCUGAAUGGAGGAUCAUGAGGCCAGUGGGUGGUAGAAUCUCUCAUCCUAACCUAAACAAUAAUAAAAUAGGCCUAAAUCCUGAGUAAAAUGGUGUAAAUCCCUUCAAAUGCCCUGUGAUAUUCGUAUGGCUCUAAUCUAUUAUAUCACAAAGUCAGACCACACAGAAGUCCAAAAAUGCACCAUGAUUUCUAAAGUACUGUAACUUAGUCAUCAGUGAAAUUUAUUCAACAGGAGAGAGUACGAUCAUACAUUGUCUUACCUGAUUAUUUAUAGCGUUAUUCUGGUUAGGUUCAUUAUUUUGCUUUGGUUGCUGUGUAUUGUUAUCCCUAGAAUAAAAUUCACAUAAUCAGAAAAAUUAAUAUAAAUCUAGAUUAAUUACAUUUAAGGAACAGUAUGGCCCAGUAGCUAGGGCACUGAUCAGGGGUUUGGAGAUCAGGGUUCUUUGUCUGGUUCUGUCACUGUAUGACCUUGGACAAGUCAUUUACUUCUCUGUGUCUCUAUUUCCCUUACCACCCUUUAUCUGAAUUGUCUAUUUUGUCUGUAAGAUCUUCAGGGCAGGGACUAUCUCCUACUGUAUGUUUAUAUAAAGCUUAGUACCACGGGUGCCUCCAGGUGCUACUUAAUACAAAUAUGACAAUAAAUGAAUACAAUAUAUAUUAGAAAAUAAUACUUGAGAAGUGAGUAGAGGAGAGGAACUGAACAGUUUAAUUAAAACAAAAAGGUUCCUAAAUAGCCACAAACUUUGCUGCCUGAGAAAAACACAAAUGCAUCGGGAGGCCAAAAGUGUAGAACUACAUGAACAUAAUUUAGGGCAACUUCUGGCCCAGUGUUUCUUUUCUUUUUAAUCUUUAUUUGGAGAUACAGAAUUUACAAGUGUGGAUUUCAUAUAUAUAUGUAUUUCACAGUUUUAGGGUUUUCUGCAUAAUUUGUUUCUCACAGAAAAGGAUUAAUUAAAAAAAAAGAAAGUUCCAAUACUGCACCUGAUAAUGCACACUGAUUUAAAUGGUGCCUGCACAUGCACAGUCCACUCACACACUAUCAAUUACAGGAUCAGAGCCUAAAUUUCUAGCUUUUUCCAUUGUACAGAUCAUCUUCCGAAACUAACAUUGGCUUUCUGAACCACUGCACUGUAACCCAGCCUUACAGAAAACUGCCUCCAGCUAAACAGCAGUUUCAGAGGAUGUAAAUAUGGCAAAUCUGAAGCAAUGCCUAUGAUCUAAUCAAUAACACAAUGGAAUACAGUAUUAACUUUUAAGUUCCCCUAAAGACCAGAGGAUGAAAUGUCACCUUAUUUACAAUAACACUGAAUCCACUCCCCCUUUUUCAAACUUUAACAGACCCUCAAAUUAGACCUUCAAAUGUUGAUAUAAUCUCCCUUUACUUCUUCACUGCAACUAAUUUAGUGCAUCCUACCACCAGUCCUAUACUUACUUUUUUCAAAAUGUAGUAAUUUUUCCAACCUAUUCCAGAAAAGAAAUGGACUGUAUCUGUACUUUUUAUCUGUCAAAACCCAGAAUUAGUUUAUUAAUAUUCUAAAGAAGUAAGAAGCAAUGGGGGAUAGAGUUUCCCCAGCUGGAAGAUUUUAUAACACAGACAGCUAUAGUGAGGUACAUUUGUGACUAGCUGCACUUAAAGAAAGACAUGAUACCAUCCUUACAUGACAAAACAUAGAAGCUACAGAUCUCUCUUUCUAAUUUAAUUUACAGAGAUGACAUUUCAUUACCCUGUGAAUCUUGCAUCGUCCAAUCAUGAGCAUCAAAUCUAGAGAAAAUCAAUAAAUACUUAGGCAGAUUCUCCCUUUAGGCUGUGGUUAGACUGGGUAUUUUGACAACUAUUUCUUACUGUUGAUAACACCAGGACAAUUCUACUGGUGGUAGAAGUGGUGGGAGCCCAAGUACAGACAAAGUCAUCACAGGGGUCUGGCUUUAUAAUACUUGGUGACAUUAAGACCUGCUCUGAGUAGCAUUAGAACAUGAUAUAUCAAGUGAUAAAAUACUCUAUUGUGACAAGAAUGACAUUGGUUGUGAUGAAAAUAAAUUUUUGACACCUG